rnacentral:lncRNA from 1 species
GUGAUUUUGGGAGAAGAGCGAUGCAGAAAUCGCACUUUUCAUGUUCUGCUGCAGUGCUCUCGCUCAGGCGAGAGCUGAACAGAAGCAUUGGCUUCAAUGGCGCUCAAGCGAGAGCGCCUCGCCCAAGCGAAAUCUCGCUCGGGCGACAUAAGGCUAGCUCAAGCGAGAAGGAAACAGAGGCAAAUUGCCUUCAAUUGGGCUCAAGCGAGAUUCGGC